rfam:Burkholderia xenovorans LB400 chromosome 1, complete sequence.
UCGUAAGGACGACCUUGCGUUUUCACGAACGGGGACGGCCCC